rnacentral:rRNA from 1 species
GACGAACGCUGGCGGCGUGCUUAACACAUGCAAGUCGAACGGAAAGGCCCUGCGUUUGCGGGGUGCUCGAGUGGCGAACGGGUGAGUAAAACGUGAGUAACCUGCCCUUGACUGUGGGAUAACUUCAGGAAACUGGGGCUAAUACCGGAGAGGAGAUCCUGCUGCAUGGGGGGGGUUGGAAAGUUUCGGCGGUGGUGGAUGGACUCGCGGCUUAUCAGCUGGUUGGGGGGGUAGUGGAUUCCAAAGGCUUUGACGGGUAGCCGGCCUGAGAGGGUGACCGGCCACCUUGGGCCUGCGGUACGCACCAGUCUCCAACGUGCGGCAGCGGGCGGGAAUAUUGCGCAACGGGCGGACGCCUGAUGCAGCAGCGCUGCGUGCGGGAUGACCUCCUUCGGGUGGUAAACCGCUUUCGCCGGUGACGAAGCGUGAGUGACGGUAAUGGGUAAAGAAGCACCGGCUAACUACGUG